AUGAUGUUGCUGCUCGCGCGCAGCCUCCGCUCCCGCGUCCGGCCCCCCCUCGCCUCCGCCGUUAGCGCCGCGCCCUUCUCAUCGGUAUCGGCGGCCGCGGCGGAGGCGGAGCGGGCGGUGCGGGACGGGCCCAGGAACGACUGGACCCGCCCCGAGAUCCAGGCCAUCUACGACUCCCCGCUCCUCGACCUCCUCUUCCACGGGGCUCAGGUCCAUAGGAAUGUCCAUAAAUUUAGAGAAGUGCAGCAAUGCACACUUCUUUCAAUAAAAACUGGUGGGUGCAGUGAAGAUUGUUCAUACUGCCCACAGUCUUCAAGAUACAGCACUGGAUUGAAGGCCGAAAAAUUAAUGAAGAAAGAUGCCGUCCUAGAAGNNNNNNNNNNNGCAAAGGAGGCUGGGAGCACCCGAUUUUGCAUGGGAGCCGCAUGGAGAGAGACAAUUGGCAGGAAAACAAAUUUCAACCAGAUUCUUGAAUAUGUCAAGGACAUAAGAGGUAUGGGCAUGGAGGUCUGUUGCACCCUGGGCAUGCUAGAGAAACAACAAGCUGAAGAACUCAAGAAGGCUGGACUUACAGCUUAUAAUCAUAACCUAGAUACAUCAAGAGAAUAUUACCCCAACAUUAUUUCUACAAGAUCGUACGAUGAUAGAUUACAGACUCUUCAGCAUGUCCGUGAAGCUGGAAUAAGCGUCUGCUCAGGUGGAAUUAUUGGUCUUGGAGAGGCGGAGGAAGACCGUGUAGGGCUGUUGCAUACACUGGCCACUUUGCCGACACACCCAGAGAGCGUUCCUAUCAAUGCAUUGAUUGCUGUCAAAGGCACGCCUCUUCAGGAUCAGAAGCCUGUAGAGAUAUGGGAAAUGAUCCGCAUGAUUGCCAGCGCACGGAUUGUGAUGCCAAAGGCAAUGGUGAGACUUUCGGCAGGGAGAGUACGGUUCUCCAUGCCAGAACAAGCUCUCUGCUUUCUCGCUGGGGCCAACUCGAUCUUCGCCGGUGAAAAGCUCCUGACAACUGCGAACAAUGACUUUGAUGCGGACCAGGCAAUGUUCAAGAUCCUUGGCCUGAUUCCCAAGGCUCCAAACUUCGGCGAUGAAGAGGCCACGGUAGCAGCACCCAUGGAGAGAUGUGAGCAAGCCGCUUCGAUGUAA
rnacentral:rRNA from 1 species